GACGAACGCUGGCGGCGUGCUUAACACAUGCAAGUCGAACGGUAAGGCCCUUCGGGGUACACGAGUGGCGAACGGGUGAGUAACACGUGGGUGAUCUGCCCUGCACUUCGGGAUAAGCCUGGGAAACUGGGUCUAAUACCGGAUAGGACUCCGGACUGCAUGGUCUGGGGUGGAAAGCUUUUGCGGUGUGGGAUGGGCCCGCGGCCUAUCAGCUUGUUGGUGGGGUGAUGGCCUACCAAGGCGACGACGGGUAGCCGGCCUGAGAGGGUGACCGGCCACACUGGGACUGAGAUACGGCCCAGACUCCUACGGGAGGCAGCAGUGGGGAAUAUUGCACAAUGGGCGAAAGCCUGACGCAGCAACGCCGCGUGAGGGAAGAAGGCCUUCGGGUUGUAAACCUCUUUCAGUAGGGACGAAGCUUCCGGGGUUAAUAGCCCACGGGGUGACGGUACCUACAGAAGAAGCCCCGGCUAAC
rnacentral:rRNA from 1 species